GAUGAACGCUGGCGGCGUGCCUAAUACAUGCAAGUCGAGCGAACAGACGAGGAACUUGCUCCUCUAACGUUAGCGGCGGACGGGUGAGUAACACGUGGAUAACCUACCUAUAAGACUGGGAUAACUUCGGGAAACCGGAGCUAAUACCGGAUAAUAUAUUGAACCGCAUGGUUCAAUAGUGAAAGACGGUUUUGCUGUCACUUAUAGAUGGAUCCGCGCCGCAUUAGCUAGUUGGUAAGGUAACGGCUUACCAAGGCAACGAUGCGUAGCCGACCUGAGAGGGUGAUCGGCCACACUGGAACUGAGACACGGUCCAGACUCCUACGGGAGGCAGCAGUAGGGAAUCUUCCGCAAUGGGCGAAAGCCUGACGGAGCAACGCCGCGUGAGUGAUGAAGGUCUUCGGAUCGUAAAACUCUGUUAUUAGGGAAGAACAAAUGUGUAAGUAACUAUGCACGUCUUGACGGUACCUAAUCAGAAAGCCACGGCUAACUACGUG
rnacentral:rRNA from 1 species